rnacentral:rRNA from 1 species
AAGUUAGAGGUGAAAUCCCAGGGCUCAACCCUGGAACUGCCUUUAAUACUGCUAGUCUUGAGUUCGAGAGAGGUAAGUGGAAUUCCGAGUGUAGAGGUGAAAUUCGUAGAUAUUCGGAGGAACACCAGUGGCGAAGGCGGCUUACUGGCUCGAUACUGACGCUGAGGUGCGAAAGUGUGGGGAGCAAACAGGAUUAGAUACCCUGGUAGUCCACACCGUAAACGAUGAAUGCCAGACGUCAGCAAGUAUACUUGUUGGUGUCACACCUAACGGAUUAAGCAUUCCGCCUGGGGAGUACGGUCGCAAGAUUAAAACUCAAAUGAAUUGACGG